CCGUAAAUUUGUGCAACCUGGAAUCAUCAUGUAAAUCCUAGCAAACUGUGGUAUUGAUUGGUGCUUGCAUCAUGAUUUACAUUUGAGUGAGUGGCGAACUGGUGAGUAACACGUGGGAAACCUGCCCAGAAGCGGGGGAUAACACCUGGAAACAGAUGCUAAUACCGCAUAACAACUUGGACCGCAUGGUCCGAGUUUGAAAGAUGGCUUCGGCUAUCACUUUUGGAUGGUCCCGCGGCGUAUUAGCUAGAUGGUGGGGUAACGGCUCACCAUGGCAAUGAUACGUAGCCGACCUGAGAGGGUAAUCGGCCACAUUGGGACUGAGACACGGCCCAAACUCCUACGGGAGGCAGCAGUAGGGAAUCUUCCACAAUGGACGAAAGUCUGAUGGAGCAACGCCGCGUGAGUGAAGAAGGGUUUCGGCUCGUAAAACUCUGUUGUUAAAGAAGAACAUAUCUGAGAGUAACUGUUCAGGUAUUGACGGUAUUUAACCAGAAAGCCACGGCUAACUACGUGCCAGCAGCCGCGGUAAUACGUAGGUGGCAAGCGUUGUCCGGAUUUAUUGGGCGUAAAGCGAGCGCAGGCGGUUUUUUAAGUCUGAUGUGAAAGCCUUCGGCUCAACCGAAGAAGUGCAUCGGAGACUGGGAAACUUGAGUGCAGAAGAGGACAGUGGAACUCCAUGUGUAGCGGUGAAAUGCGUAGAUAUAUGGAAAGACACCAGUGGCGAAGGCGGCUGUCUGGUCUGUAACUGACGCUGAGCUCGAAAGUAUGGCUAGCAAACAGGAUUAGAUUCCCUGGUAGUCCAUACCGUAAACGAUGAAUGCUUAGUGUUGGAGGGUUUCCGCCCUUU
rnacentral:rRNA from 2 species